rnacentral:tRNA from 1 species
GCGGGGGUGGCUCAGUGGGUUAAGUGUCUGACUUCAGCUCAGGUCAUGAUCUCACAGUUCGUGGGUUCGAGCCCCACAUCAGGCU